rnacentral:rRNA from 1 species
UUUUAUGGAGAGUUUGAUCCUGGCUCAGAGUGAACGCUGGCGGCGUGCCUAAUACAUGCAAGUCGAACGAUGAAGCUUUUAGCUUGCUAGAAGUGGAUUAGUGGCGCACGGGUGAGUAAGGUAUAGUUAAUCUGCCCUACACAAGAGGACAACAGUUGGAAACGACUGCUAAUACUCUAUACUCCUGCUUAACACAAGUUGAGUAGGGAAAGUUUUUCGGUGUAGGAUGAGACUAUAUAGUAUCAGCUAGUUGGUAAGGUAAUGGCUUACCAAGGCUAUGACGCUUAACUGGUCUGAGAGGAUGAUCAGUCACACUGGAACUGAGACACGGUCCAGACUCCUACGGGAGGCAGCAGUAGGGAAUAUUGCGCAAUGGGGGAAACCCUGACGCAGCAACGCCGCGUGGAGGAUGACACUUUUCGGAGCGUAAACUCCU